GUGAAUACAAACGCCUGGGUGUCUCUGCUUCGGCAAGCCCCUCGCACCCUUCACAUCCAUAACACCUGUGCACCGUAAGAUGACCCUCCGGGGCCGUCUGACCUUUUUUCACAAACUAUUUAUAUGUAACAAAUGUAGUCUUAUUAUAACAAAAUA
rnacentral:misc_RNA from 1 species